UACGUAGGGAGCGAGCGUUGUCCGGAUUCAUUGGGCGUAAAGAGCUCGUAGGCGGCUUGGCAAGUCGGGUGUGAAAACUCCAGGCUCAACCUGGAGACGCCACCCGAUACUGCCAUGGCUAGAGUCCGGUAGGGGACCACGGAAUUCCUGGUGUAGCGGUGAAAUGCGCAGAUAUCAGGAGGAACACCGGUGGCGAAGGCGGUGGUCUGGGCCGGAACUGACGCUGAGGAGCGAAAGCGUGGGGAGCGAACCGG
rnacentral:rRNA from 1 species